CCUGCAAUACAGCAACAAUGGCAAAACCUUCAAGAAAUACCAGGGAGGAAAAGUGUUCAAAGGAAACAGUGACAGACACACCGUUGUCAAGCAUAAUCUAAAUCCCCCGAUUUAUGCCAGGUACAUCAGGGUAGUAGUCAAGACAUGGUAUCGUCACAUUUGUAUGAGAAUGGAGCUGUAUGGGUGCAAAUACUAUUAAAGCUCAACAGUCAAUCGUGAUGCAGACUAUCGUAAUAAGGUGGAUAACGUAAAACAUAUAAUGGGUUGAAUUUUUAAGAUAAAUUUACCAUCGACAUGGUAUACUAUAAGAUUCUGUUAAGGUAUUUAAUUAAAGGUUUUAAGCACUAC